rnacentral:rRNA from 1 species
CCUACACAUGCAAGUCGAACGGUAACAGGAAGCAGCUUGCUGCUUCGCUGACGAGUGGCGGACGGGUGAGUAAUGUCUGGGAAACUGCCUGAUGGAGGGGGAUAACUACUGGAAACGGUAGCUAAUACCGCAUAACGUCGCAAGACCAAAGAGGGGGACCUUCGGGCCUCUUGCCAUCGGAUGUGCCCAGAUGGGAUUAGCUAGUAGGUGGGGUAACGGCUCACCUAGGCGACGAUCCCUAGCUGGUCUGAGAGGAUGACCAGCCACACUGGAACUGAGACACGGUCCAGACUCCUACGGGAGGCAGCAGUGGGGAAUAUUGCACAAUGGGCGCAAGCCUGAUGCAGCCAUGCCGCGUGUAUGAAGAAGGCCUUCGGGUUGUAAAGUACUUUCAGCGGGGAGGAAGGCGAUGAGGUUAAUAACCUUGUCGAUUGACGUUACCCGCAGAAGAAGCACCGGCUAACUCCGUGCCAGCAGCCGCGGUAAUACGGAGGGUGCAAGCGUUAAUCGGAAUUACUGGGCGUAAAGCGCACGCAGGCGGUCUGUCAAGUCGGAUGUGAAAUCCCCGGGCUCAACCUGGGAACUGCAUUCGAAACUGGCAG